rnacentral:rRNA from 1 species
GACGAACGCUGGCGGCGUGCCUAAUACAUGCAAGUCGAACGCUUCUUUCCUCCCGAGUGCUUGCACUCAAUUGGAAAGAGGAGUGGCGGACGGGGGAGUAACACGUGGGUAACCUACCCAUAAGAGGGGGAUAACACUUGGAAACAGGUGCUAAUACCGCAUAACAGUUUAUGCUGCAUGGCAUAAGAGUGAAAGGCGCUUUCGGGGGUCGCUGAGGGAUGGACCCGCGGUGCAUUAGCUAGUUGGUGAGGUAACGGCUCACCAAGGCCACGAUGCAUAGCCGACCUGAGAGGGUGAUCGGCCACACUGGGACUGAGACACGGCCCAGACUCCUACGGGAGGCAGCAGUAGGGAAUCUUCGGCAAUGGACGGAAGUCUGACCGAGUAACGCCGCGUGAGUGAAGAAGGUUUUCGGAUCGUAAAACUCUGUUGUUAGAGAAGAACAAGGACGUUAGUAACUGAACGUCCCCUGACGGUAUCUAACCAGAAAGCCACGGCUAACUACGUGCCAGCCGCCGCAGUAA